rnacentral:rRNA from 1 species
GACGAACGCUGGCGGCGUGCUUAACACAUGCAAGUCGAACGGUGAAGCGCCUUCCUUUUUGGUGGGUGUGGAUGAGUGGCGAACGGGUGAGUAACACGUGAGUAACCUGCCCCCUUCUUCUGGAUAACCGCAUGAAAGUGUGGCUAAUACGGGAUAUUCUGGGUCUGUCGCAUGAUGGGUCUGGGAAAGAUAUUGUUUCGGUGGGGGAUGGGCUCGCGGCCUAUCAGCUUGUUGGUGGGGUGAUGGCCUACCAAGGCGGUGACGGGUAGCCGGCCUGAGAGGGUUGACGAUCACACUGGGUCUGGGACACGGCCCAGACUCCUACGGGAGGCAGCAGUGGGGAGUAUGGAACAAUGGGCGCAAUCCUGAUGCAGCGACGCCGCGUGAGGGAUGGAGGCCUUCGGGUUGUGAACCUCUUUCGCCAGUGAAGCAGGCCUGCCUCGUUUGUGGGUGGGUUGACGGUAGCUGGAUAAGAAGCGCCGGCUAACUACGUG